UACGUAGGCAGCGAGCGUUGUUCGGAGUUACUGGGCGUAAAGGGUGUGUAGGCGGUUUUCUAAGUUUGGUGUGAAAUCUCCCGCUCAACCGGGAGGGUGCGCCGAAAACUGGGAGACUAGAGUGCGGGAUGGGAGAGUAGAAUUCCUGGUGUAGCGGUGAAAUGCGUAGAUAUCAGGAGGAAUACCGGUGGUGUAGACGGCUCUCUGGACCGCCACUGACGCUGAGACACGAAAAGCGUGGGUAGCAAACAGG
rnacentral:rRNA from 1 species